CCAGAUCGAUGCCCAACCUCUCCAACGCCCCCAACUCAUGCCGCCGGUGUGCUCACUCCGGCUGGUCGCCACAUCCCCGCCGUUAAUCGAUGCUCACAAAAAAAAAAGGCUCCAGCCACCGGUGUGAUCCACUCGGGUUGCUCGUCACAUCGCCGUCGGUGUGCUACUCUGCUCGGCGUGCUCCAUGCCCGUGGGCAACGGCCGUGUUCGAUGGCGGCCCAGGUCACGGCAUCGUCGAAGCUGCUCGCCGGCGUGCUCCACGACGCCGACCACAAACUCUCAUGCCCGUGGCCCUCUAUCCCCGCCGGCACCUGCAAUGUUUUUCGGUGGCAUAGCUCUCGCGACACCGCGCCACUGCCCUUGUUCCACCGCAGUUCAUGGCGAUGGUCCUCGGCCACACUCACGGUGCCGCCAGCGUACUAUGCAGAACAAGUUCAUGUACAUUUUUUUUUUGUGAUUUGAACUUUAAAAACUGAACAAAGGCAGCUCCUGUAUAUUUUUCUUCUGAAUUUUAUCUCAUACAAGAUGUGGCCUACGUUGUAAACGAAUUUGUGUGUGAAUGAAAGCCGUGACAGUACAAUGACAUUUUUAGUGUUGUGAACUUGCGA
rnacentral:rRNA from 1 species